rnacentral:rRNA from 2 species
CCUGGCGGCAAUAGCGCGGUGGUCCCACCUGACCCCAUGCCGAACUCAGAAGUGAAACGCCGUAGCGCCGAUGGUAGUGUGGGGUCUCCCC